AUUGAAGGCGGGGAAAUACCGCGGCGCGGACGGUAGUUGCUGUGGUUUCCGUUCUGAGCUCGCAGCUUAGGAGCUGAAGAUCGCGGACUUAGCGUUGCCGCGUCCGAGUCCGGCCAUCAGUGGCUGCAGAUCCGGAGGCCAGGAGCUCAACCACCCUUCUUCGGAACAGGGCCGGCCUGCUGCUGUGCCCUCGACGCUCGGUGCCUGUAUCUACUCCGGGGCCUAGGUCGGCUCCGGGGGCGGCUUAGGAGAAGGCCGCCGGCGAGAUGUUCAAAAACACGUUCCAGAGCGGCUUCCUCUCCAUCCUCUACAGCAUCGGCAGCAAGCCUCUGCAAAUCUGGGACAAAAAGGUACGGAAUGGCCACAUCAAAAGAAUCACUGAUAAUGACAUCCAGUCCCUGGUGCUAGAGAUUGAAGGGACAAAUGUAAGCACCACAUAUAUCACAUGCCCUGCAGACCCCAAGAAGACGCUGGGAAUUAAACUUCCUUUCCUUGUCAUGAUUAUCAAAAACCUGAAGAAGUAUUUUACCUUCGAAGUGCAGGUACUAGAUGACAAGAAUGUGCGUCGUCGCUUUCGGGCAAGUAACUACCAGAGCACCACCCGGGUCAAACCCUUCAUCUGCACCAUGCCCAUGCGGCUGGAUGACGGCUGGAACCAGAUUCAGUUCAACUUGCUAGACUUCACACGGCGAGCAUACGGCACCAAUUACAUCGAGACCCUCAGAGUGCAGAAUCCAUCCCUAAGACAAGCCAAGGAGAUGCCGGAGAUGACGCGUUUCCAGUCCUGGAAGAGGGCCUCUAGAAGAUUCAGGAAAAGGGGGAGAACAGUCACAUUUCGCCUCUCAAAAGAAGCAUUGCCUUGACAGAUCCAUGCAAAUUGUCGCAUCCGACGGGUUUACUUCUCAGACAGACUCUACUCAGAAGAUGAGCUGCCGGCAGAGUUCAAACUGUAUCUCCCAGUUCAGAACAAGGCAAAGCAAUAACUGGAAUUGUGACUCGAGGGAUAGACCCCUGGAUGUGACUCUUCUUUUUAAAAGGAAACUAUGUGGAGGACGAUGCAAAAACAUAUUUAUCUUAGUUUGCUCUGCUGUAGUUCUGUUAUUUAUACUUGGUGUUGCUUGUCAUGGACACCGGUGAACAUGCCGUAACUCUGUGACUGCAUUGUAAGUGCAGUGGGGGUAAGCAGUCCUGUGAGUGGCGCAUGAACGCUGGAGCUUAUUCCGCCGCCUGCCCCAGUGUGGGGGGAGAUACCUUUACCAUGAACUUACAGAAUUAAAGAUGGCCCAUAAGGAAUUCCAGACCAAUAUUUCUUCCUGCGGUUUAUUCUAUGUUUUAUAUAUUAUCUAAAUAUAUGUAUAUGCUGUGUCAUACUCAUAAUCUGGAAAUGAAUAAAGUGAUAUAUUCCUGGUUUGUAAA